CGUGGCAUCGCUGGAGGCUACUCAGGCGCGGGACUCGUUCUCGAGGCGGGAGCUGAGGUGCGGGGCGGGGCCUCCUGCCCGGCGCCGGCCUGUGGGGAGGCGGGGCGGGGCACAGUCUCUUAACCGUGCAGCCCGCCCCUGACGCCGCCGGUAACUGCGAGAGUCGGGGUCGGUGCGGUUUGCUAAGUGGUCGGUUCCUGGAGCUGCGGUCUUCUGCUAGCCUGAUCCGCAGCUUCAGCCUCCGCCGCCUCCUCAGCCCUCGGCGCCGCCGCUGGCGCCGCCGCCUGACCCGCAGGCCGCCGCGGGCCGCAGAGCCCAUGAGGGCGCGGGCACCGCCGCCGCCUCCGCGGCGUCGCCGUCGUCCCGGAGCGCCCCGAGCUGGCGCGGGCAUGGCCGUGGCAUGAGCGUGGAGCCGCCGCCGGAGCUGGAGGAGAAGGCGGCGUCGGAGCCCGAGGCGGGAGCCAUGCCGGAGAAGCGCGCGGGCGCGCAGGCCGCGGGGAGCACCUGGGUUCUACAUGAAACAUUUUCUCAACACACAUUCCUCAUGAAUGGUCUCAUUCAAGGUGUAAAG
rnacentral:sRNA from 1 species